AUUGAACGCUGGCGGCAGGCCUAACACAUGCAAGUCGAGCGGAUGAAGGGAGCUUGCUCCUGGAUUCAGCGGCGGACGGGUGAGUAAUGCCUAGGAAUCUGCCUGGUAGUGGGGGAUAACGUCCGGAAACGGGCGCUAAUACCGCAUACGUCCUGAGGGAGAAAGUGGGGGAUCUUCGGACCUCACGCUAUCAGAUGAGCCUAGGUCGGAUUAGCUAGUUGGUGGGGUAAAGGCCUACCAAGGCGACGAUCCGUAACUGGUCUGAGAGGAUGAUCAGUCACACUGGAACGGAGACACGGCCCAGGCUCCUACGGGAGGCAGCAGUGGGGAAUAUUGGACAAUGGGCGAAAGACUGAUCCAGACAUGCCGCGUGUGUGAAGAAGGUCUUCGGAUUGUAAAGCACUUUAAGUUGGGAGGAAGGGCAGUAAGUUAAUACCUUGCUGUUUUGACGUUACCAACAGAAUAAGCACCGGCUAACUUCGUG
rnacentral:rRNA from 1 species